UCCCCGUGCAGGAGGCAGCAACCACGGUGGGGUGAGGCAAGAGAGGCUGCCACAGCACAGCGCACGCGCAUCAGAGUGGCCGGCACUUGUGUCGGGGUGAUCCUCUCCCCGGUGUGAGCCGCAAAAAUACCCGCCUGCUGACACUGAGAACAAACGAACCUUUGCACCACUUCGCCAUCACUGGCCAGGUCUUCUUAACGUGGCAGCGGACUUCCCACAGAGCAGGCGAGUGAUCCCAGGAGAGCCAGACAGGAACUGCAUGAGCCUUUCCUGGCCCCAUCCCCAAAGCUACACACAGCUGCUUACGUUGUAUUCCAUUUGUCACCUGGAACAGCCCCUCAGCCCCGAUUCAGAGCAGGAGGGAACUACCCAAGGCACAGACACCAGGAUGGCUCGGGGCUCUGAGCCUGGCUACCAUCGAACAUGGCAGAAAAAUGAGAAUGUGCUGAAAAAUAAACAUGUAUCUGUAACAGCCGGAAAACAGAGACUCCAACUUAGCAAAGUAACAGAGACGUCCCAGGAUGACACUGUGUAGCAGGCUUAAAAAGCAGCCAGAUUGUGUGAGGAGGAUGGAGGCGGCUGGGAGAGAGGUCUCCAGGAUAAACAGAUAAAUGAACGACCUGAUGUACUGAACUUUUUAUACGUUGGUUGACAAAAAGAUAAACUGAGGUGUAUCACAAAUUUUAAGAAUUUCUUGGAGCAAAAAUCAGCUGGAAUCUGGCAGCACCAAACAGGAAGUGGUCAGGGGCCCUCUUCACCAGGGGGCAGGGGAGACUACAGAAAGUGCAGCAGCAAAGAGAAGAAAUUAUUUGGUUAUAGUUUAAAGCCUACUUGGCUGUGAUUGGUUGCCCGUAGCAUUUUGAUUUUGUAACCUUGAGGCACUUACAGGCUUAGCCUUUGGGUCCCUUCCAUAAGCUGCCAUGGUAUUAGCGUUGCCUCAGUCUAAAUGCCUCCUUGUUUAAUUUAACAAUAUACCGAAUUAUUAUAAAAAUUAUAAUAUGUACAAUUUCAAUAAUUAUAGGGGAAAAUCAAACUUUCAAUACAUAGAAAACUGUAAAGGGAAAAAAUUAUAGUCUAGGAAAACAAAACAUUUUACAAGAAAGACAACAUAAUAAUUGUAGUUUACUUACGUUUUACACUGACUAUCGUUUGCAAGAAUGUACUAAUUCCAAAACCUUUAUUCAUGUAACUACAUAAAAAUGGGAUAUAAAUAUUGGGAAGACGGCAAGAGAAGAAGUGGGGAUAGAAAAUACAGAAGCACUAAAUCUUCAUCCAGCAUAAUAGAAAAUCAAUAGGUAAUGUCCAAGGUUG